UGGUACUCUUGGUCAGAUGGCACAGAGCAUGAAUUCAAAAACUGGCUGACUGGAAACAUACCAUAUAACAGUGGAGACUGUGCUACCAGUUUGAUCGGUGCUACUGAUGCUGGAAAGUGGAUCGAAGAUCAUUGUGACCAAAAACUUCCUUUCAUGUGCCACUACGAGACAAAGCAGCUUCGGAUCAAGCUGAGGGUUCUGAAAUCCACAAUGGACCUGAAUGACCCCGCUGUGACGGAGGCCAUCCAGAAACUGCUGGAGAAGAAGCUGAAAGAGAAAGGGAUCACAGCAGGGUUCAAACUUAGAUGGGUCAAGAAGCCUGACAACACCAUCUUUGAGGAAGAGAAGGAAGAGAAGGAUGAACUGUAAAC